rnacentral:lncRNA from 1 species
CUCUACCCACUGAAAUGGAGUAGGUCGGUGAGCGCCGAUCUGCUGGAGAAUCUCAUUAUCCCAUCGGCGCUCUGCCUGCUCCUGGCCUCCAAGCCUCUGAAGCCCCUCGGGUUUCAGCUGCCGGCUACCCUCGAGCCCGUGGUGCCCACGAGAGAGGCGACUUUACGUCAGCGGCCCUGGGCUGAGAUUUGAGAACGCGACCAAGUGGAGAAUGUUGGAGCCAGAUUUUAAAAUCCUUGUCUUCCUUCUGCGUGCUACUUGAUCUAAAUGAGAUACGGCAAAGUCACAGAACCUGUUUUUAUGUUUUUGCCUGAUUCAUACGGGCUUCUCCGGUGAAGAUGGGCCUGAAGUAACGCUUGGGUUGCUUCUGACGUUAUAACUCAUCCUGUAGCUGCAGCAACCGUGGUCCUUGCAACCUCAUAAAAAUGUUGCCAGCAUUGUUUCGAUAGUGCUGCUUAAUUCUUGGAAGGUUCUUCGGACUUCACACAUUCCAGCAGUAGCUCUCUCAGCUCCUGUCCUGCACAGCUUUGAAGUGCUGGUGAUGUCAUUGAACUCUUAAGUGCAAGAUGAAACAAGUCUUUCUGGGGUUCUAAGUAGGACACAGCCCUGGUGAUGGCUUUCUGAGGAUGACACGAUGGAGGCUUCUCCAAUAGCUCUAAAACUGCGGUGUGGAAAACAUUCGGCAGCCUCAAAGAGCGGUCUUGUUGACCCCAACUAUAUCAUUUUUCAUCAAAAUCAUUCUUGUAAAGAAUGACCAGGCAACACUCUUUGAAAAUUGGAGGCCAUUUGCAGCUGCUCUCUGUUGAGGAAAGUGAAUAAUAGGGUGCCCUCAAGGAAUUGCAAAGGGACACGCUGCGGAUGGCUUGAGAUUAGUAUCUGCGCAGGUGCCAUUCUCACAGUGUGUGCUGUGAGAAUGUCGCAGACGUGUGCUGCUACUCUGGCACUCACACUUGUCCAGGCUGUUUCUUAGGUGGUCAUCUUGCCUGUGGUAUCAGAAAAAGGGAUUUCUACUUAGUAUUAAGAAGUUGAAACCAAAGUAGAAAAUAUUCAUCCUUUGCUUUCCCCAAACAAUUCUUCUGCCUAGAAAUGUCAACAACUUAACCACAUGCAAAUACCCAUUUGUGGACAAAUGUGUACAAAAGACAUUUGGGGUUCCCCUCUUUGAGACUAGAUUAAAGCUGACCAUAUAGAUAGGGAAGAAAACUGUUUUUCUCUGUAGCAUCAUAUUGCUGCUUUGUAUAUUUUCUGAUAGAGUAGCAUCAGGUCCUCUGGCUGCUUUAUUGAAAUCAUCUUUGACGUUUCUAACAAGGAAAUUUCCUGUGCAAAACUCUAGUUAGAGAUUUCAGUGACUUGUAUCACCAAGAGGAGGACCAUCAGCAUGCAGUGGAGGUCUAGGCUUCAGACAUGUGAGGCACACUGAGGAGCAGCUUUAUUUGCAAGAGGUAUUAGGAAUCUUCCUAACAAAGUUGACCUUCAGGAUGGGAGAAAUCAAAGCACAGACCAUAGAUCCAAAAAAAAUGGCUUCUGGUCAGAAAAGGUGAUCUGAGAUUAGGGGAAGAUGUGUCAUCAAUAUCAUCCCCUGGUCCAGCCCUGUGAAAUCACACCUGAGUGGUAGAGAAAUAUCUAUGAAAAAAUAGUAAAACAGAAACAAAUGUUUCUGUCUGGCAGACAGGCAGCUGCAUGGCUUUCAGGGCCAGGUAGAGGGGACAUCACAUGUACAUGGUGGCAGCGGGAUGUCCCCAGGUAGCAGAAAGUCGCAGGUGGCUCAUCAGAGACCCUAAAGAACUAGCCCCCUACUUGUAGGUGUCAGUGGCUGUGGUAGGAGUGGCCAUAGAUAGUUUCUGGUUACACAAGAUUGGUGUGGGAACAGCAUGACCACGAGAAAAAUCUGGGUUGACGGCCCCAGGGAGCUGGAGCAGAAUAUUAACAAUAGUAGCUAGCAUUUGAGUGCUGCCCAUGUGCUUGAAAAUGUUCUAGGUGAUUUACCUUUAUUAGCUCCUAUAAUUCUCAAAACGACCUCGAGUUAGGUCUUUCUAUUAUUCCUAUUUUAUAGACAAAGCAGUGGAGCCACAGAGAGGUUAAGUAACUUGCCCAAUGUCACACAGCAAAAAGUGGCAGAGCCACAAUUUUAAUUUGGGUUGAAGAGGAAAAUAGAUAAUGCAUAUUCCUAGGAUCUGAGAGAUGUUUGAGGUGAGGGGGAAUGAGAGGCUCUCCUUUGAAAGAAGCAGCAGGGGGUACUGAAACAGAGUAGAAGAGUGUGAAAGCUGGUGGGGUUGUUGUUGUUGUUGUUUUUAGUCCUAAGUUAGUGGCAUGAAAGCACUGCCCUGGAAGCGAUGGAGCAGCAAGUGCUCUACCCACAUGGAAGUCUUUGGGACCUGCACUUCAAUGAGCGCAGAGAGGAAAAGGAGAGAAGAACCAACACAACUGAAGCACCUACGAGCGUCAGGCACUGGCCCAGCUGCCAUGGACCCCCGAGUUGAAGGUCGUAUAACCUCAGCCUGCCCAAAUGAACCAAGCACACAACCACAGGGGGAACCCAAGAGUUCCAGUGGGAGAGCUGGAAGAGGAGGGACCAAUGUGAGAAGUGGACACCAUAUGGCAGGAUCCAGGAUCCAAUCAGACUGAGCCCUGGGGUCACCCCAUGGAAGGAUCCAGUUGGAUCAUGCCUCCUGGCAUCACCUACUGCAAGAUCCAAUCAGAUCACACCUCCUUACCCUAUGCUUAUAAAACCCCACCCAGCCCCCAGCCCGAAGAUACAGAUUUGAGUAUUUCCUCCU